UUAUGAGUGUCCGUACCAUCCCACCCUGGCCGAACCGUCACCACGGGAGGGGAUGGUUCGCACGAUUCAGAAACUUGUCUUUCAUCACCUACAGCUGAAAACUGGAAAUAGCUACGGGCGUCAUAUUAGCAGCCUAAAGAGCCAGGUGAUGGAGGAACUUUUUGAGAUCAACAAAAUUACACACUACUUUUGAAACUUUUUUUCUAAAAAUAUUUUUCUACAGAGUGUCCGAAUCAUCACCCCUCUCCCCUAUAUGUCGACGCUAAAUGACUAACUGGCACCUCUUUCGCCCCCUGGAUGACUCCGUGCCAAAAACAGCCUACAGUUCCUGCCUGCACAUCACGGCGUCUGCAGAGCGAGGAUGUUCCCUCAGCCGACCUGUCUUGGCGGUCUUCCUCUAGUUUCUGCUCGCUGUACCGCUGCUGAAGGCUGGCUGACAGCUGGACUGUCCCGCCACUGUGUGCAGGCCAGUGGGACAGGCGGCCUGCUGGGGAGCACAUGUGUCCCCUCCUGCCCUGCAGACACAGACACAGCCGCUGGACCUCAGCACCCAGGAGGGAGGACACAGCCGCUGCCUCCCCCGCCAAGCGCCGCACGGCCACGCUCAGCGCCUGGAAGAAGAAGCAACAGUGACGCCCAGAUGAAGGCCGUUCCCACUCCCUCGGCAAGCCUGAGUGUCUCUGAGCAGAGGAACUAAAAACGUCUUGAUAAUUCUCUGGAACAAGUUAUUUCUGUAGAGCAUUCUGUCCCUCAGGUGUACGCUGGACUCCAAUAAACAUCCGGUUGGGGAAA